rnacentral:lncRNA from 1 species
ACGGUUGUAAUCAUCGUUUGCCUUCACUCAUUUCAAGUACUCCCGCACCUUGAGAUUCCUAUGCUCGACAAACUCCUUAUAUGCCUACAUAAUUUAGGUUGUUUCUAAGUGAGCAAUGCUGAAAAUAAACUGAGAAUGCAAGAUAGAAAAAGAUAAAGAGGAAGUACUUACAGCAUGCUGGCGGGCUAAGGGAGUCUGUGAACGCCCCGUACUCUCUAACUGGCUCGGGUUGCUAGCCCGAAGCCGUGUGUACGAGAUCGAAGGAGUGAUCAAGCCAUCGAAACACGGAUACCGGCCAUUCUUCUUCCCCUGGAUGGCCACCACCGCCGUGUCGUCGAUCUGAGACUGGGCGACCUCAACAACAGGAACAUCCGGAUGCAACUCCUGAUAGUGAUGAAUGUAAGACCCCAGGUGUUCCUCGGUCUUGCCGUAGUACUGGCUCUCGCCCUCCUUGAGAUGACUCCGCUCGCGGGCCAGCUUCCACGAAUCCAUGUCUGAGAGCGGCCUCUUCAACUUGUCCUCCUACAACGUCAAAUAGAAGUCAGCCAUACAUAAGAACAUGACGUAAAGAAGAACAAAAAUGCAUCAUGCACAUAGAUAUACCUUCAUGGCCUUGAUGCCCCAGUGGUUCCUGUUUCCUUGGCCGUGUGUCCCGUUGUCUCCACGGUUAGCUCGGGCCUUGAUGCUCUUGGCAGCAAACUCUACAUCGGCGCCGAGCCACCUAUCCACCAAACUCGCCCAUCCGUCAUGCCUUCCAUAGCACCAACGAGGAACAACCUAUGCAAAUUUUGGAAGCAUGACAUGUGAGCACGAAACAUAUAGUUGACUGCUUGAAACAAUGAAAAGUUAGUAAUAGUUACCAUCAUGAACUGCUCCUUGCUCAAGGUAAGUCGUAGCUUCUGCGCUUGAGUUUUGGGCAUCUUUUGUUGCAGGUAGUAGUGGUAGUACUGCGAGACGGCAACCCAG